rnacentral:misc_RNA from 1 species
UACGUAGGGCGCAAGCGUUGUCCGAAAUUAUUGGGCGGAAAGGGCACGCAGGCGGAGCCUUAAGUCUGAUGUGAAAGCCCGCGGCUCAACCACUGAGGGCCAUGGGAAACUGGGGAACUUGAGAACUGAAGAGGAGAGUGGAAUUCCACGUGUAGCGGUGAAAUGCGUAGAGAUCGGGAGGAAUACCAGUGGCGAAGGCGGCCUUCUGGACUGAUACUGACACUGAGGUGCGAAAGCGUGGGUAGCAAACAGG